rnacentral:rRNA from 1 species
UUCGUCCAAUUGAAAUAGAGGACAGUGGCGGACGGGUGAGUAACGCGUGAGGAACCUGCCUUUCAGAGGGGGACAACAGUUGGAAACGACUGCUAAUACCGCAUAACACAUAGGAGUCGCAUGGCUCUUACGUCAAAGAUUUAUCGCUGAAAGAUGGCCUCGCGUCUGAUUAGCUAGUUGGUGAGGUAACGGCCCACCAAGGCGACGAUCAGUAGCCGGACUGAGAGGUUGAACGGCCACAUUGGGACUGAGAUACGGCCCAGACUCC